GGACGCGACGAAAUGUCUCAACUUUCCCACACAGUAUCAACGGCUUUAAGGUAUCUAAAGACCACAAAAAAAGGCCGGCGGAAUUCGCCGGCCUUUGGUCUCGCAAGUUAGAUGACUUACUCGGCUGCUUCGACUUUGCGGGGUGGCGAGAGAGCACCCGAAUUGUGGGUCUCAGCAACCUGAUUGUCAUUGAAGCCCAAGACCUGCUUCAGGAUCUCGUCGGUGUGCUCGCCCAGCAGUGGCGAGCGCGUCACCACAGUCGGGCUGUCCGAUAGUUUGAUCGGAUUACCGACCGAAAUGUACUUGCCGCGAGUUGGAUGAUCGACUUCGACGAGUGUACCGGUGGCAUAGAGAGACUUGUCCUCGGAAAUUUCCUUCAUCGACAGAAUCGGACCGCACGGAAUGUCGUCCUUGUUGAGAAUUUCCAUCGCCUCGAACUUGGUCUUGGUCAUGGUCCACUGUUCGAUGCGUCCGAAAAUCUCAUUCAAGCGCGGCAGACGCGCCGCCGGCUUGGCGUAGUCCGGAUGCUUCUUCCAGCCGGGCUCGCCGAUCACGUCGCAGAUCG
rnacentral:misc_RNA from 1 species